UUUUUUUUUUUUAAUAGAAAGGCAAAGGUUCUGGCCAUUAUGCCAUUGAGUACUAUUCGUGACAUUUCGUUCUUCACUUUCCGAGACAUUUUCUAUUUUCACUUUUUUUUUUAAUAGAAAGGCAAAGGUUCUGGCCAUUAUGCCAUUGAGUACUAUUCGUGACAUUUCGUUCUUCACUUUCCGAGCCAUUUUCUAUUUUCACUUUUUUUUUUAAUAGAAAGGCAAAGGUUCUGGCCAUUAUGCCAUUGAGUACUAUUCGUGACAUUUCGUUCUUCACUUUCCGAGCCAUUUUCUAUUUUCACUUUUUUUUUUUAAUAGAAAGGCAAAGGUUCUGGCCAUUAUGCCAUUGAGUACUAUUCGUGACAUUUCGUUCUUCACUUUCCGAGCCAUUUUGUAUUUUCACAUUUUUUUUUAAUAGAAAGGCAAAGGUUCUGUCCAUUAUGCCACUAUUAUUUAAUUGAACAUUAUUCGCGACAUUUCUUUCUUGAUUUUCCGCGCCAUUCUCUAGUUAUAUUUUUUUUUUCAAAUAAAAAGGCAAAGGUUCUGGUCAUUAUGCCAUUAUUAAUUCGUUCUUCAUUUCCCGCGCCAUUGUUGAUUGACAUUUAUUUUUUUUAUAACGAAAAAGGCAAAGGUUCUGGUCAUUAUGCCACGUAUUUGGCAGAAUGUUUAUUAUGCACUCAACAACAGUAAAAAAAAACACUUUCCAAAGCAUGUUUUGGUUCGUAAAAGGGAAAAAGUAGAAAAUAUGGAGUGGCUCGUUAUUCUGGUACAAUUAAUUGCUCUAGUUUAUACUCACGAUAAUAGAAAUUUUAAGUGUAGUUUACAAAUUUAGUGACGGUUUAAACUAUAAGUACUAUUUUAGGUACGCUUUAGCACUAUCGCAACCUCUUUAUAAGUUUUUAUCCCGUAGUUAUAUGUAUCUCUUUCUUACUAAUGUGAAACUCUUUGAGGAAAAGAGAUGGAAGAUAACCUCAAUUGUGUGAAGGUGUUUGAUGUUUUAAAACUUUAUUGAGAUUUAAUAUUGAAGAAUAUUAGUUGCUUUUUUCUUAAAGUAUUAUUAAAAAUAAAUAUUGAAGUACAAAAAAGGAAUGAAUGAAUUUUU